rnacentral:rRNA from 1 species
GACGAACGCUGGCGGCGUGCUUAACACAUGCAAGUCGAACGGAAAGGCCCUGCUUUUGUGGGGUGCUCGAGUGGCGAACGGGUGAGUAACACGUGAGUAACCUGCCCUUGACUUUGGGAUAACUUCAGGAAACAGGGGCUAAUACCGGAUAGGAGCUCCUGCUGCAUGGGGGGGGUUGGAAAGUUUCGGCGGUGGGGGAUGGACUCGCGGCUUAUCAGCUUGUUGGUGGGGUAGUGGCUUACCAAGGCUUUGACGGGUAGCCGGCCUGGGAGGGUGACCGGCCACCUUGGUACUGCGGUACGGCCCAGACUCCUACGGGCGGCAGCAGUGGGGAAUAUUGCACAAUGGGCGGAAGCCUGAUGCAGCAACGCCGCGUGCGGGAUGACGGCCUUCGGGUUGUAAACCGCUUUCGCCUGUGACGAAGCGUGAGUGACGGUAAUUGGUAAAGAAGCACCGGCUAACUACGUG